rnacentral:lncRNA from 1 species
UCAUCGGUAUAGCGCUUGCAACAUUGAUCCAUGAGUCAAAUAGUGAGCCAGAUGAAUCCCCGUAUCUCUCCUCAUCAAACCCAGCUGAGUCGAUCAAAACGGUCUGUGACGUGACUCUGUAUCCAUCCUCCUGCUUCACAAGCAUAUCCUCUCUUAACAUCUCAACUAAACCUGACCCAGAAGUCAUCUUCAAGCUCUCUCUCCAAGUCUCCAUUGCAGAACUCAAGAACCUCUCUUCUUUAUUGAGUAGUUUCAAUGAUGUUAACUCUCAGGCUGCUUUGAAAGAUUGUGUGAGUCAGUUUGAUGAUUCCCUGAGUAAACUCAACGAUUCUUUGUCGGCCAUGGAGGUUGGACCUGGAGAGAAGAUGUUGAAUUUGG